rnacentral:rRNA from 1 species
GGGUCAGUAGGUUGGUCGUGCCACCGGUACGUACUGGUCUCACUGAUUCCUCCUUCCUGAAGAACCGUAAUGCCAUUAAUUUGGUGUUGCGGGGAAACAGGACUGUUACUUUGAAAAAAUUAGAGUGUUUAAAGCAAGCUAACGCUUGAAUACAUUAGCAUGGAAUAAUGGAAUAGGACGAUCGAUCCUAUUUUGUUGGCUUCUAGGAUUGACGUA